rnacentral:tRNA from 1 species
GACCUCGUAGCUCAGCUGGCUAGAGCACCAAACUUUUAAUUUGGGGGUCCUGCGUUCGAGUCGCAGCGGGGUCA